GUGGGGAAUAUUGGACAAUGGGGGCAACCCUGAUCCAGCAAUGCCGCGUGUGUGAAGAAGGUCUUCGGAUUGUAAAGCACUUUCGACGGGGACGAUGAUGACGGUACCCGUAGAAGAAGCCCCGGCUAACUUCGUGCCAGCAGCCGCGGUAAUACGAAGGGGGCUAGCGUUGCUCGGAAUGACUGGGCGUAAAGGGCGUGUAGGCGGUUUGUACAGUCAGAUGUGAAAUCCCCGGGCUUAACCUGGGAGCUGCAUUUGAUACGUGCAGACUAGAGUGUGAGAGAGGGUUGUGGAAUUCCCAGUGUAGAGGUGAAAUUCGUAGAUAUUGGGAAGAACACCGGUGGCGAAGGCGGCAACCUGGCUCAUUACUGACGCUGAGGCGCGAAAGCGUGGGGAGCAAACAGGAUUAGAAACCCUAGUAGUCCC
rnacentral:rRNA from 1 species